GGUGGCUCAGUGGUAGAGUGCUUGCUUUGCAUGCAUGAGGUCCUGGGUUCCAUUCCUCAGCACCA
rnacentral:tRNA from 1 species